AUGAAAUUCAUCAAAAAAACUUCCUUUCCUGAAGAUUUUGUUGCAGAUCAAAUAAUUGUUGUUUCUGACCAAAGAGUUUUUAAAAGGUCACCCAUUAUGAAGCAGACACAAAUUCAACUGCCGGCUCUGGUGGCAUCUCUGACCAGUGUAGAAAUUGCAGUAACUAUUCUUAUCAUCAAGCCUCAUUGCAACUGUAGAGAUUUUCACAACGAUGUUGAUUUCACCAUUUGGUUCUCCAACUCAAUGACCUUGAGAUAA